rnacentral:rRNA from 1 species
GAUGAACGCUAGCGGGAGGCUUAAUACAUGCAAGUCGAACGGUAAGGUCUAGCUUGCUAGAUACACGAGUGGCGCACGGGUGAGUAACGCGUACACAAUCUACCCUAAAGUGGAGGAUAGCCCCGGGAAACUGGGAUUAAUACUCCAUAGUAUUGUUUUAUUUAUGAUUGAACAAUUAAAGCUCCGGCGCUUUAGGAUGAGUGUGCGUCCCAUUAGCUAGUUGGUAAGGUAACGGCUUACCAAGGCGACGAUGGGUAGGGGGCGUGAGAGCGUGACCCCCCACACGGGUACUGAGACACGGACCCG